GUUCUCCUUUGGCUUGUAGUCCAUGGUGACGUUGUCUUCAGUGUCUCUGGACUACACAGUAGCGUUUGGGUGUCGCCAUCCACCCAGUUACCUCCCUCUCCCACCACUGACCUUUUCAGUCAUUGAUUCCAACAAGAGGCAAGCGAUGAUGGAGCAAGUUUCGCAUGCCUGUCAAAAACUUGGGUUUUUUCAUAUUGUGAAUCUCGAGGCACCACUAGAGGUUAUGAACUGGACAAUUGGUAAGGUCAAGGCAUUUCAUGAGCUAGCAACGGAGGUCAACAGACAGUGGUACCGGAGGG
rnacentral:misc_RNA from 1 species